CCCCCAGGGUGACGCCGAUGUCCAGAGCAGCCCCGCGGCCCCCCGGCCCCCCCCGGCCCGGCCCCCCUCCGAUGCCGCAGCAGAGCCGGGCCCCACAGAGGAGGAGACGCCGCGCCUGCGGGACACGAGCCAGUUCGUGGUGGCCGAGCUGGCGGCGCUGGAGCGGGAGCAGGCGCAGGUGGACGCCCGCGCCCGGAGCCUGGAGCGGGAGCUGAGGGCGCUGAUGGAGUCCGGCGCGGACCCGGUGCGCGAGGAGCGCCUGAUCCAGGAGUGGUUCUCGCUGGUCAACACCAAGAACGCGCUGCUGCGGCGCCACGACCAGCUGCAGCUGCUGUGAGGGGGGGCCGGGGGGGUGUCACCCACCCGGG